CAAGACAAAUUUGAAGUGAUCUUGUCAAAGUAACCAGAAAAGUAAAACUUUUACGUAUUCGAAGAAGUGUUAGAAUUUAUUUGCAGAGACAAAAUGUAAAGCACUCGUCUUCACCUUUGCCACUGGAGCAAACACUGUUAUCCUGUCAUCUCACCUCCUUUUGGCCUUCAAGUAUACAGCACACUGUUAUUUGAUUCAGGAUUGUUGACAGCAAACAGCUAUGCAAAGCUAAAAGUGACCAAAAAGUGCACUCUCUCUCACACCAACUGGGAUCCUUGAUAGUUUGAGCACUUACGGUUUGCUUACAAGCAAUGCAUUAAGUGGCAACUUGCCAUUUUCUCUGCCAACUAGGCUAGAAUUCCAACUUGGUCAUGCUGCAAUGCCUUCAGAAUUCAAUUUUAGAGACAUGAAGGUAAGUGAUUACCUAAAGAAACAAAAGUAGCCCACAAAACUCAUGCUCGAAGCAAAAAAAUGAGGCCACUAUUCCCCUCCCCUCUGCCUCCUCUCAAAAUGGGUUCGCUUUGGUAAAUUCUCAGGGGCCAAAAGUAAUGUAAAUAAAAAAUUGCAGUCUCGUAGUGAUCCAAUUCUUUCUGACAUGCAACUGUAAGAUAUGAAAAGGGGCAAAACUUUUCUGAGCUAAGAGCGUUUGUAGGAACGUGGGAGCAUGAAAAACGCGAGACCUUUGAGAAAGCCACACACAAUACCACAUCGACAAAUCACGAAACGAAAUAUACCCUCUUUGUUAUAAAAAAGCAACAACUGAUUAGCCAAAUCUAUCUCUAAAUGAUUAAUUCAAGAGGAUCGAGCUUCCGGAAACUCUAGCUACAAGGAACAGGUUAAUAAGCCAGGUUGACCGUUCGUGGGCGAAUGAUUAGAAGACCAUUAUGACUGAUGACUCACUGUACGUAUAUUUGCCGUAUUUUUUUAUAUUUUAUUACAAGCAAAGAAAAUAUGUCAUAGUAAUUAUUUUAUGAGGUCAUCGCAAAGCUGGCUUGGAUACAAUAUGUUUUAGUUGGGCGUUGGCCUGAUACCUAGUAGCCAAGGGCCAGGGAUGCACGUGUGUGUGUGUGUGUGUGUAAUCUUUAUGUAAUUGGCCUCGUGGAGAAGAGCUCGGAAUUGGUACUGUGUUCAUGUUUAAGAUUUCAGGUUCUACUCUUGCUAGGUACAAAUAAUUCCAUGGAUUCAUCGGAUUUAGAUAAAGUUCAUGAAUUAAACGUAAUGUACCUGCAAGAAAUUCUUUGCUAAGAACUUGUGCGUUUCCAUGAUUAGUCGGGUCUUCGGAACUUGUGCGUUUCCAUGAUUAGUCCAGCUAGGUAGUGCUAAUCCAAAAAAAAAUGUACAGAGCACAUAUUUGUGUUAGGAUUAAGAGAUAAGAGUCUUAAAAUAUAUAUGGUUUAAUGACACUAAAUAAUACAUAGUAUAAUUCCAAAUCAAAUCAAAUCAAAAUAUGUAUAUAUCAAUCAAUGUUAACCAAGAGUGCUUGCUUCUUUAGAGAAGAAUGAAUUGAAAGCACAUUGAGAUUGUUGCUUUGCCAUAUGAACAUUUGAAAGUAAAAGUAAGAACAUAAUGUGAUCCUUCAAGAUUUUCUUUUUUUAUAUAUAACAUAAAUAUCAUAAAAAAAUAAUAUUUUUUUUUGUUUUUAAGUCUAAAGACAGGACAUGAUUUGUCUAAAAGUCUCGUGACUCGUGUUUCUUUAUACCCAACAAAAUCCCGCAUCAAAAGAUAUGGGAUAUAGGUACUCUACAAAUCACCCUCUGGUCUAUAGCUACCCAAGGAAGCUACUACCAUAAAAAAAAAAAUCAAUUUUCUUAAUUAAUUUAUAAAAAAAUUUGAUUGGUUCUUGAAAAUUUCCAUGAAUUAAAUUAUAUUUUUUUUGUUUGAAAUAUAUGUAUACACAAACAUGCAAGGGCAGACUUACAUGGAGAAGAAGGGGUAAUUUCCACUCUAACUUUCAAAAAAGUUCAUUUAACCUUGUUGAUUUUAGCAGUUCAAACUUGUCGCCUUUCUUUCACUGUGUUUCUUAUAAAGUUUUCUUAGCCCUCCUCCUUAUAUAAGCUGAAAUUCCAUUAGAGAAUAUAUAUAACCGACUCUUGUGUUAAGAAUUUGGAAGGUAGAUUCAAUUUUUUUUUAAUUAAAACAAUAUUAUUUUGAUUUUUUAAAAUAAAAUUAUCUUUUUUAAUUUAAAACAUCAUCGAUUUAGGAAAAACAAUUUGAUAUAUCAUACAGAUUAAUGAGUUGACUGAAAUCGAAUUUUAUAACCGGGAUAAAUACAAGAAUAUUAUUCAUAAUUAAUUUGUGGCACCCAAAAUACAGAAACAAGACUGGUUGAAGCCUUGUAAAUCUUCACCGUGUUCUUCCUUAUUAGACAUUUGAACAAGAAUUUGAAUUUAACAAUUCUACCUAGCUUCUUUUUUUCUUUUUUCUUUUGAGAAGGAAGAACUCUGCCUAGCACAUAUUCACCUUAUUGCCCCCGAUAUUUCUAUAAUUUAAAUCUAUAGAAGAACUACCAAUCCAGGAUACAACAUCCUGACAUGUUAGUGAUUAAUGUCAUUUUUUCAAUAAUAGUACACAAUGAAACUUGUAUAGAUGCUUUGCUAGACUACUGAAACAGCUUUAGUCAUAUGUUUGUGAUAGGAACAAGACCCUCGCUGCCAUUCUCUCUCCCUGCAUAAAGAUACUGUGGCAGUGUAGUAGUCAUGUGGUUGAGCAAUACAUCACAGAACACCAGAAGUUUG
rnacentral:lncRNA from 1 species